GACGAACCGUCCUAACGUUGUUCGGAAUCACUGGGCUUAAAGGGCGCGUAGGCGGCCCUCUAAGUCGAACGUGAAAUCCCCGGGCUCAACCCGGGAACUGCGUCCGAUACUGGAAGGCUUGAAUCCGGGAGAGGGAUGCGGAAUUCCAGGUGUAGCGGUGAAAUGCGUAGAUAUCUGGAGGAACACCGGUGGCGAAGGCGGCAUCCUGGACCGGCAUUGACGCUGAGGCGCGAAAGCCAGGGGAGCAAACGGG
rnacentral:rRNA from 1 species